AUUGAACGCUGGCGGCAUGCUUUACACAUGCAAGUCGAACGGUAACAGGUUAAGCUGACGAGUGGCGAACGGGUGAGUAAUGCAUCGGAACGUGCCCGAUCGUGGGGGAUAACGCAGCGAAAGCUGCGCUAAUACCGCAUACGAUCUGAGGAUGAAAGCGGGGGACCGUAAGGCCUCGCGCGAUCGGAGCGGCCGAUGUCAGAUUAGGUAGUUGGUGGGGUAAAGGCCCACCAAGCCGACGAUCCGUAGCCGGUCUGAGAGGACGACCAGCCACACUGGGACUGAGACACGGCCCAGACUCCUACGGGAGGCAGCAGUGGGGAAUUUUGGACAAUGGGCGAAAGCCUGAUCCAGCAAUGCCGCGUGCAGGAAGAAGGCCUUCGGGUUGUAAACUGCUUUUGUACGGAGCGAAAAGGUCCUUUCUAAUACAAGGGGCUCAUGACGGUACCGUAAGAAUAAGCACCGGCUAACUACGUGCCAGCCGCCGCCGUAACAC
rnacentral:rRNA from 1 species